rnacentral:rRNA from 1 species
UUUUUAUUGUUUUUAUAAUAAAUAUAACCUGCUCAAUGUUUUAUAAAUAGCCGCAGAAUUUUUACUGUGCUAAGGUAGCAUAAUCACUUGCCUUUUAAUUGAAGGCUUGUAUGAAAGGUAUCACAUUUAAGUACCUUUUUUUACUAUUUAUGUUAAUUUAUAUUAAAUAUAAAAAUAUAUUUAUUUUUAAAUUAGACGACAAGACCCUAUUGAAUUUUACUUUAGUUUAGCUGGGGAAGCUGAUUAACUAAUAUUUUAAUUAUAUAAUUUUAUUACAAUGAACCAAUUAAAUUGGGAAAAGGAAUAAAUUACCAUAGGGAUAACAGCGUAAUUUCUUUUUAAAGCUCUUAUUGAAAAAGAAGAUUGCGACCUCGAUGUUGAAUUAAUAUUUCUUAUAAACGCAGUAGUUUCUUAAGAAAGUCUGUUCGACUUUUAAAAUAUUAC